UACGUAGGUGGCGAGCGUUGUCCGGAUUUACUGGGCGUAAAGGGAGCGUAGGCGGUCUUUUAAGUCUGAUGUGAAAGCCUUCGGCUUAACCGGAGUAGUGCAUUGGAAACUGGGAGACUUGAGUGCAGAAGAGGAGAGUGGAACUCCAUGUGUAGCGGUGAAAUGCGUAGAUAUAUGGAAGAACACCAGUGGCGAAAGCGGCUCUCUGGUCUGUAACUGACGCUGAGGUUCGAAAGCGUGGGUAGCAAACAGG
rnacentral:rRNA from 1 species